GCGUUCUCUUUCGAUGUGUAACGUUCGAAAUUUGAUGGUGUAAUAAUCCACAGCCGAGGAAAAAAUAAUAAUCUCACAAUCGGUCCAAUUACGCAGACGAGGAAAUGUGGGGGAUGGGGCGUGGUAUCGCAAUUAACAUCCGGGAAACGUUUGUUAUCUAAACUGGCAGUCUUCAUAUCGUCAUUACCUACGCAGUUAACUGCACAAGACGAAAAUCGUUGUCUGAGUUUUACAGACAGAAUCGGAAGUAUUGGAAUGAUCAUGAAUCGCACCUACGACUUUAUGUUAGAGAACAAAGAACUAUUUUAUUUUACGGAGAAUUUUUUUUAUGAUUUUUAACAUCUGAUAGUGUUCGGGGAAUAAUCAGACAUUCUGAGUUGAUGGUGGAUCCGUUAAUCUACAUAAUAACCCGUGCGUCGACGUAGCGAAUUGCAAAAUUGCGGUCUCGUCCCUCAAAAAAGUGGCAGGAGAGGUAACUGACAUACGACAGGACAUUACGUAAAGUCAAAAUGCGGAAGCAACGCCCUGGGUUUCUGACUGCUUUGCUGAUUUUCAAUGGCCUCUUUUUAUCAUAUGCUGUAUACACUUCGGUUGAACCAUUCGACUCAUCUCGACACAUGCUAAAAAUUCGUUUCUAUUAGCUUCGUACACCGGGAUGUACUUGAAUGAGUAUGACGUAAUUCUUUCGAGUGUUCGAGAUAUUUUUACAUUUUUUUAAAAGCUGUUUCCGAGGAGCAUUUCUUCGGUGGAACUGUUGGUGGUCGUUGGUUGCAAUACUUUCUGAAUCGGUUAUAUUUUUAUUGAAAUAGAACUCUCCCACAAUUAACGGAAACGAAAGCAGUGAAUUUCUGAUUUUCACACACGUUCUGCAGACAUUUUUCAAAAUCUAAAAAAGUCUGGAUUAAAUUUGGUGCAUUUUUAGUCAAAAAUAGUUAAACUGGAUUUUUUCCUGAGUUAUUAUUCCUUCAUCCCAGUCAUUAUUGUUAAAUUAAUAGUUUGUAUAAGAGAAUUAUCAUUUAUAUUCGAAGUUGAAAUGAAUUAAAAUCGUCAAAACAUUGGCUGGGUAAAAAAAAAAAUUCUGUCUGUUGAAAAUCUUUCAGAAAUCCUCAGAAGAAUUAUCGAAAGAUCUUCCUAGUAUUUUCCAAUUGUUCAUCAAUUCAAUCAAUAAAUUUUUCUACGUGAAAUAAAUAAAUAAAUAUGAUCUACAAAAGCUAAUCUGUCCCGAUUGUCUAUCAUAACUGAAAGUCAAUGUAAUCAUCGAAAAGUUGAUGACUAUUAGCAAUUUGUGUCUUCAUAUAACUCAGACAAAUAUAGAAAAAAAAAUCGUGAUGGAAAUUAUCAAUUUAUCAUGGUGAGGUAAUUAUAAUAUUCAAUGUUGAGAUCGUAUUUUGGUGAUUAUUGUAGAUGAAUAAAGUUGAGUCUCAACAGGAGUGGUUUCCGUCCUCGAAAUAUCGGCCAUUAGCUUUGAAUUAAUUGUAUUAGUUACAGUGGAAUAUGGCUGCAGUACCUCAUGGAGGGAGUUCACUUCGAUAAUUAGAAGCUGUUGAUAAAUUCAGCUGCGAUGCGGUAAACCAAAUAACCAGCGGACGAUCAAAAGGGAGGCUCGAUCACCGAGGCAUUCUCAAGCUCCUCUCGAGUACUCACUUCAAGUUUAUGCACAUCCUAUGAAGAGGCCUGGUUGCGCACUUGAAAAGGCAGUACCAAGUUUCGGAUGGCGUUUGAAUUUAGUGGUCUUAAGAGGAAUCAUCGAAAUGUGUUUGGAAGAUCUCACUGGUGAUCUGAAGAGAUUCGUCGGAGGAUUUUGGGAAGACUUUUCGUUGAAAAUGUUCUGACUCCCCGAGUCGACCUAUUUGUCCUUGAGGGACUUCAAAUAGAGUUCUAAGGAGAGGCCUACCCUAACAGGAGAUGAGGAAUGCUGACAGUCGGCCGACUGUCGGCCAACAUUGGCCAAAUGUCGGCCCGCUGUCGGCCAUUCCUCAUCUCCUGCUAAAGUAGCAGACUAUUGUGAGACCUGGGCAUCAAACAAAUACAAUAGUUUUUGAACUUCAAAACCUGGAAAUAGUAGUUAUUUUCCUUGUAUCAUUCGAGAGGUCUAAAUGAGGUAAUUGAUUGGCCCUGAGGGAGUCCUCGUAGACCUCAAAUGUCAUUAUCCGGUUUCAUCUGAUGAGAUGAAACAAUGAAAAGUGACUACUUGACAUAAUUCAAAGAAAAAAUUUCAUUUAAAUGAACUUCUCUUGAUUUAUUAUCUCGUUUAUUUAUUCUGUUUUCAUUUACAAUACAAUUUUAUUAUAAUCUACGUUUAUUGCAGAUGCGAGUCCCGUACCACUAUCCGAAAACUUGGAGACCAAAAUGUUUAGGAGGUCAUGAAAGGGGCAGAAUAUUUUUCAGAAGGACACGGAGGUUAAAAUCGAGGUUCUAACCGGUUAAGGACUCAUUCACUCCUCGUCUUUGAGUUCCAAAUUGACUCUGAGGCCUGAACCAAGACUAAAUGAGAGUAUUAACGGCUAGUGAGGGGCAGAAAUCGACCCGGGUCAAGGGGAUUUUCCCAGUGGAGUGCAGUAGGCGUAGGGACAGGUCGAGAUUUUCCAAAUUUAUGAGGGUCCAGGGGAUUUUAUUAAUUUAAGCCGGUGGGUAAGUGAUUAAUUUAUUUCGAUAUCAAUGUUGUGACGGAGUAGUCAGAUGGAGAGAAAAAUUCCUGAAAAAUUACGCCCCGUUCCGUAAUCUGGGAGUCAAAACAAUAUUUGGUUAAAAUUAUGGAACAGUAACGCACUUGUUCAGUGAACUUUCAGGAAAAAGUCCAAAAAUUCUGGAAAAAGUAGGGAACGUUGGGUGAAAAAAUACGUAACUGUUGCGUAAUUUUGACUGGGUAAUGUUGUAAGUGGGAGAUUACGAAACAGGUGCGUAAUUUGUAAUUAAUUUUUCUCUCCGUCAAGGGAACUGAGGACUUGGAAAAGAGAGUUAAGGUAGAGAGAACUAUAUGGAUAUUCACAGGUAAUGAGAAUUACUAUAAUUUACGAAGCACUAAUACGUUAUAGUAAUAAUUACUAAACUGAGAAAAAAAAUUAUUUUUGUCAAAUAUUUAUUUACUUCAGAGAAGUAUUUCUUUUUUCAAUUUUUCAUUCCAAAAAACGAGUUAUUCUCUGACAAUUCUGAUUCGGUUUGAAUUAUGCAAAUUAUAUUGUUCCAGAAGAUGAUCGUCAUUUAUAAGGUUGAGUGAACAGUAAUAAUCAUAAACAUUAAAUAAUGAAUCGAAACCCUUCCUCCAAGAAAAUGCGAAAUUUAGAGAAAUUAAUUAAUCAUUAA